rnacentral:rRNA from 1 species
CAAUUCUGCCCUAUGAUUAUUUAAAUGGCUGCAGUAUUUUAACUGUACAAAGGUAGCAUAAUAAUUAGUCUUUUAAUUGAGGACUGGAAUGAAAGAUUAAAUGAGAAAUUAAUUUUAUUAAUUAUAUUUUUUUGAAUUUUAUUUUUAGGUAAGAAAGCUUAAAUAAUUUUUUGGGACGAAAAGACCCUAUAGAACUUUAUUUUAUUUAUGUUAGUUUUUAUAAGUUUAAAUAUUAUUAACUUUAUUAAAAUUUAAUUGGGGUGAUUAAUAAAUUUAAACUUUAUUUUUAAUAUUCAUUAAUUUAUGAUUCUUUUGACUUAAAUUUUAAUUUAAAGAUUAAGUUACCUUAGGGAUAACAGCGUAAUUUUUAUGGGGAGUUCAUAUCUAUAUAGAAGUUUGCGACCUCGAUGUUGAAUUAAGAUAAGUUAACGAAGAAGUAUUUGUUAUACUAAGUCUGUUCGACUUUUAAAUUCUU